GACGAACGCUGGCGGCGUGCUUAACACAUGCAAGUCGAACGAGUGGCGAACGGGUGAGUAAUACGUGAGUAACCUGCCCUCUUUUUGGGAUAAGCCUUGGAAACGGGGUCUAAUACCGGAUAAAGGGGGAUGGGCUCGCGGCCUAGCCGCUUGUUGGUGGGGUGAUGGCCUACCAAGGCGGUGACGGGUCGCCGGCCUGAGAGGGUGACCGGGCACAGUGGGACGGUGAUACGGCCCAGAGUCCGCCGGGGGGCAGCAGUGGGGGAUAUUGGACAAUGGCCGAAAGCCUGAUGCAGCGACGCCGCGUGGGGGAUGAAGGCUGUCGGGUUGUAAACCUCUUUCGCUAUCGAAGGGGUAGGUGGAGAAGAAGCGCCGGCUAACUACGUGCCAGCAGCCGCGGUAAUAC
rnacentral:rRNA from 1 species